ensembl:misc_RNA 7SK 7SK RNA
UGAUGUGAGGGAGAUCCGGCUGAGACAUCUGUCAUCCCAUUGAUCAUCAGGGUUGAUUGGGUGAUCUGACUGGCAAUGUGGGUGUCCCCUUCCUCCUGAACAGCUCCAUGCUUUGCCCUCAGUCAAAGAGGAUGACUUUCUCCAAUAGCAGAUGGCUCUGUCAAGCCCUGCUCUGUUGCAGCCUCCACACAAGCCCUAAGCUCAUAGUAGGCUGAGCCCCAUGAGUCAGGGCCCCAUGU